UCGGGAUAGCUCAGUUGGUAGAGCAGA
rnacentral:tRNA from 1 species